AACGAACGCUGGCGGCAUGCCUAACACAUGCAAGUCGAACGAUGCCUUCGGGCAUAGUGGCGCACGGGUGCGUAACGCGUGGGAAUCUGCCCUUGGGUUCGGAAUAACAGUUGGAAACGACUGCUAAUACCGGAUGAUGACGUAAGUCCAAAGAUUUAUCGCCCGAGGAUGAGCCCGCGUCGGAUUAGCUAGUUGGUGGGGUAAAGGCCUACCAAGGCGACGAUCCGUAGCUGGUCUGAGAGGAUGAUCAGCCACAUUGGGACUGAGACACGGCCCAGACUCCUACGGGAGGCAGCAGUGGGGAAUAUUGGACAAUGGGCGCAAGCCUGAUCCAGCAAGGCCGCGUGAGUGAUGAAGGCCUUAGGGUUGUAAAGCUCUUUUACCCGGGAAGAUAAUGACUGUACCGGGAGAGUAAGCACCGGCUAACUUCGUGCCAGCAGCCGCCGUAA
rnacentral:rRNA from 1 species